rnacentral:lncRNA from 1 species
AAAAAUUGGGUGUGUGUUAAAGGGAAAAAAGAAAUAGUUGACAUUGUUGAAAGUGUCAACAACAAUAAUGUUGAAAUACUAAAACCAUUAAAUAACUCGGAUGUUCCCGAGGUCAACCAAAAUAAUAAUAUUCACAUAAAUAGUAAUAAUAAAUCCAUAUUUCACACAAAUGAUUGUGAAGAAAAAAAACAGCAUGUAUUUAAUUUGUUACAUGAUAAAAACAUUAAGAGGGAAGAAAUUGCUAUACAAAGUACCAAUUCUAAAGAAGAGAAAUUAAUUGAUUGGAAUUCUUUAUUUUCAAACAAUACUAAAAAAGUAAAAGAAAAUGGUUCUCUGUUUAGUAAUUCUAUAAGUGAAAAAUUAUUAAGUACAAAUAUAGCACAAACUGAAUGUUAUCAACAUAUACCAGUUAGUAACGCAAAUAUAAAUAAUAAUAUAUAUAGUAAGUUAAUAACACAAAAUAAUACAUCUCAUGUGAAAGAAAACGGACCUAAUGGAUAUGAUAAGCUAAUUAAAUUUAAUAAACCAAAUAAAAGUCAUAAUAAAAAUGUACUAGUCACUGAAAAGAAUAAUAAGAAACUACCAAGUUAUUAUAUAUGUUUAAUAGAAGAUGAUGAAGAUUGUGGAAAAGAUUAUUUAUAUGAACAUGCUAAAAAGAUGUAUAAAAAAUAUGAACAAAGUAAACAAAAUGAACAAAGUGAGAGUAAAUUAGAAGGGGAAGAAUACAUAAAUACAAAGAAAAAUGACAAUAGCAUAAGCAAUAGUAUUUAUGAUGAAGAAGAAUGCUUUGAAAAUGAUUUUAAUGGCUGUGUAAAACUUUUUUCUUACUUAAGCAAAAAUUAUAAUCAAAUAUUAAGAUAUUCAUAUAAAGGGAAAUUUUUAUAUAUGUAUAAAGCAACAAAGAAUUCCUUAAAAAAAAAUAUGAUUUGCACACAAUGCAAAAAUAAAUUAGUAUUUGAAGUGCAAUUUUUUUCUACAUUCGUUUAUCAAAUAGAACAAAAAGUAAAAGCAGAAAAAAAUUCUUUUCUAAAAAAUAUGUUAAAUAAUUUUAAUGUAGGAAAUGUUAUUAUAUUCACUUGUGAACAGGAUUGUGUUGUUAUUGAUGAUAUGUAUUCAUAUGAGCAUAUUGAGCUAGAAAUUUUUUAA